CUCACAAACGGACAAUUCAAUUUUAAAUUAGAUGACGAAGAGAAGGGAGCUUGUUCUCUUUAGUCUCUAGAAUGAUCUCAUUCAACAAAAAAGGUGGUAAUUAAAUACCAUAAGGUAAAGAGAUUGGAAGUAGACAAAAUCUAGUAUAAUAAGUUACAGCAUGGGCCAUGAUUUCAAGUUACC